GGACUACUCGGGUAUCUAAUCCCGUUCGCUCCCCUGGCUUUCGCGUCUCAGCGUCAGAAAACGUCCAGGACCUCGCUUUCGCCACGGGCGUUCCUUCCGAUCUCAACGCAUUUCACCGCUCCACCGGAAGUUCCAGGUCCCCCUACGUCCCUCCAGACUGGUCGUAUCCGAGCCCCUUCCCCGGUUGAGCCGGGGGAUUUCAGCAUCGGACGUGCCGGUCCGCCUACACGCGCUUUAAGCCCAGUGAUUCCGAAUAACGUUCGCACGGUUCGUCUUACCGCGGCUGCUGGCAC
rnacentral:rRNA from 3 species